UACAGGGGGUGCAAACGUUGCUCGGAAUCACUGGGCGUAAAGCGCACGUAGGCGGUUCGUUAUGUCGGAUGUGAAAGCCCUUGGCUUAACCGAGGAAGUGCAUCCGAGACUGGCGAGCUAGAGUACGAAAGAGGAUCGCGGAAUUCCCGGUGUAGAGGUGAAAUUCGUAGAUAUCGGGAGGAACACCGGUGGCGAAGGCGGCGAUCUGGGUCGAUACUGACGCUGAGGUGCGAAAGCGUGGGGAGCAAACAGG
rnacentral:rRNA from 1 species